AGGAAUGGGGUCCCCGGGCAUGGUGCUGGGCCUCCUGGUGCAGAUCUGGGCCCUGCAAGAAGCCUCAAGCCUGAGCGUGCAGCAGGGGCCCAACUUGCUGCAGGUGAGGCAGGGCAGUCAGGCGACCCUGGUCUGCCAGGUGGACCAGGCCACAGCCUGGGAACGGCUCCGUGUUAAGUGGACAAAGGAUGGGGCCAUCCUGUGUCAACCGUACAUCACCAACGGCAGCCUCAGCCUGGGGGUCUGCGGGCCCCAGGGACGGCUCUCCUGGCAGGCACCCAGCCAUCUCACCCUGCAGCUGGACCCUGUGAGCCUCAACCACAGCGGGGCGUACGUGUGCUGGGCGGCCGUAGAGAUUCCUGAGUUGGAGGAGGCUGAGGGCAACAUAACAAGGCUCUUUGUGGACCCAGAUGACCCCACACAGAACAGAAACCGGAUCGCAAGCUUCCCAGGAUUCCUCUUCGUGCUGCUGGGGGUGGGAAGCAUGGGUGUGGCUGCGAUCGUGUGGGGUGCCUGGUUCUGGGGCCGCCGCAGCUGCCAGCAAAGGGACUCAGAAAUAGAGACAAAGCCCCUAGCCUGUGCAACCUAGCAAGAUCCCAUCUCUACAAAAAAAUUACAAAUUGCUGGGCGCGGUGGCUCAUGCCUGUCAUCCCAGCAUUUUGGGAGGCCGAGGUGGGCGAAUCACCUGAGGAAAUGCAUUCUACAGCAACGUCCUAUACCGGCCCCGGGGGGCCCCAAAGAAGAGUGAGGACUGCUCUGGAGAGGGGAAGGACCAGAGGGGCCAGAGCAUUUAUUCAACCUCCUUCCCGCAACCGGCCCCCCGCCAGCCGCACCUGGCGUCAAGACCCUGCCCCAGCCCGAGACCCUGCCCCAGCCCCAGGCCCGGCCACCCCGUCUCUAUGGUCAGGGUCUCUCCUAGACCAAGCCCCACCCAGCAGCCGAGGCCAAAAGGGUUCCCCAAAGUGGGAGAGGAGUGAGAGAUCCCAGGAGACCUCAACAGGACCCCACCCAUAGGUACACACAAAAAAGGGGGGAUCGAGGCCAGACACGGUGGCUCACGCCUGUAAUCCCAGCAGUUUGGGAAGCCGAGGCGGGUGGAACACUUGAGGUCAGGGGUUUGAGACCAGCCUGGCUUGAACCUGGGAGGCGGAGGUUGCAGUGAGCCGAGAUUGCGCCACUGCACUCCAGCCUGGGCGACAGAGUGAGACUCCGUCUCAAAAAAAACAAAAAGCAGGAGGAUUGGGAGCCUGUCAGCCCCAUCCUGAGACCCCGUCCUCAUUUCUGUAAUGAUGGAUCUCGCUCCCACUUUCCCCCAAGAACCUAAUAAAGGCUUGUGAAGAAAAAGCAAA